GACGAACGCUGGCGGCGUGCUUAACACAUGCAAGUCGAACGGAAAGGCCCCUUUGGGGGUACUCGAGUGGCGAACGGGUGAGUAACACGUGAGUAACCUGCCCUUGACUUCGGGAUAACUUCAGGAAACUGGGGCUAAUACCGGAUAGGAAUCCUUGCUGCAUGGUGGGGGUUGGAAAGCUUCGGCGGUUUUGGAUGGACUCGCGGCUUAUCAGCUUGUUGGUGGGGUAGUGGCUUACCAAGGCUUUGACGGGUAGCCGGCCUGAGAGGGCGACCGGCCACAUUGGGACUGAGAUACGGCCCAGACUCCUACGGGAGGCAGCAGGGGGGAAUAUUGCACAAUGGGCGGAAGCCUGAUGCAGCAACGCCGCGGGCGGGAUGACGGGCUUCGGGUUGUAAACCGCUUUCAGCAGGGGCGAAGCUUGUGGUGACGGUACCUGCAGAAGAAGCACCGGCUAACUACGUG
rnacentral:rRNA from 1 species